AUACGGAGGAUCCGAGCGUUAUCCGGAUUUAUUGGGUUUAAAGGGAGCGUAGGCGGACGCUUAAGUCAGUUGUGAAAGUUUGCGGCUCAACCGUAAAAUUGCAGUUGAUACUGGGUGUCUUGAGUACAGUAGAGGCAGGCGGAAUUCGUGGUGUAGCGGUGAAAUGCUUAGAUAUCACGAAGAAAUCCGAUUGCGAAGGCAGCCUGCUGGACUGUAACUGACGCUGAUGCUCGAAAGUGUGGGUAUCAAACAGGAUUAGAUACCCUGGUAGUCCACACAGUAAACGAUGAAUACUCGCUGUUUGCGAUAUACAGUAAGCGGCCAAGCGAAAGCGUUAAGUAUUCCACCUGGGGAGUACGCCGGCAACGGUGAAACUCAAAUGAAUUGGCGGGG
rnacentral:rRNA from 1 species